rnacentral:rRNA from 1 species
GUCGUACGCUCCAGCAAUGGGGAGUGGCAGACGGGUGAGUAACGCGUGGGAAUCUUCCUAUCGGUACGGAAUAGCUCAGGGAAACUUGGGGUAAUACCGUAUACGCCCUUCGGGGGAAAGUUUUUCGCCGAUAGAUGAGCCCGCGUCUGAUUAGCUAGUUGGUGAGGUAAUGGCUCACCAAGGCGACGAUCAGUAGCUGGUCUGAGAGGAUGACCAGCCACACUGGGACUGAGACACGGCCCAGACUCCUACGGGAGGCAGCAGUGGGGAAUAUUGGACAAUGGGCGCAAGCCUGAUCCAGCCAUGCCGCGUGAGUGACGAAGGUCUUCUGAUUGUAAAGCUCUUUUGGCGGGGACGAUAAUGACGGUACCCGCAGAAUAAGCCCCGGCUAACUUCGUGCCAGCAGCCGCGGUAAUACGAAGGGGGCUAGCGUUGUUCGGAAUUACUGGGCGUAAAGCGCACGUAGGCGGAUUGCUAAGUCAGGGGUGAAAUCCCGGGGCUCAACCUCGGAACUGCCUUUGAUACUGGCAAUCUCUAGUCCGGAAGAGGUGAGUGGAAUUCCUAGUGUACAGGUGAAAUUCGUAGAUAUUAUGAAGAACACCAGUGGCGAAGGCGGCUCACUGGUCCGGUACUGACGCUGAGGUGCGAAAGCGUGCGGAGCAAACAGGAUUAGAUACCCUGGUAGUCCACGCCGUAAACUAUGGAUGCUAGCCGUCAGCUAGCUUGCUUGUCUGUGGCGCAUCUCACGCAUUAAGCAUCCCGCCUGGGGAGUACGGCCACAACGUUAAAACUCAAAGGAAUUGACUGGGG